rnacentral:rRNA from 1 species
CCUACGGGUGGCAGCAGUGAGGAAUAUUGGUCAAUGGACGAGAGUCUGAACCAGCCAAGUAGCGUGAAGGAUGACUGCCCUAUGGGUUGUAAACUUCUUUUAUAAAGGAAUAAAACGAGGCACGUGUGCCUUUUUGCAUGUACUUUAUGAAUAAGGAUCGGCUAACUCCUUGCCAGCAGCCGCGGUACUCCGGAGGAUCCGAGCGUUAUCCGGAUUUAUUGGGUUUAAAGGGAGCGUAGAUGGGUUGUUAAGUAAGUUGUGAAAGUUUGCGGCUCAACCGUAAAAUUGCAAUUGAUAAUGGCAGUCGUGAGUACAGUUGAGGUAGGCGGAAUUCGUGGUGUAGCGGUGAAAUGCUUAGAUAUCACGAAGAACCCCGAUUGCGAAGGCAGCUUACUAAACUGUGACUGACAUUGAUGCUCGAAAGUGUGGGUAUCAAACAGGAUUAGAUACCCGAGUAGUC